rnacentral:rRNA from 1 species
AGUUCGAUUCUGGCUCAGAUUGAACGCUGGCGGGAGCGCUAACAUGCAAGUCGAACGGCAGCACGGACUUCGGUCUGGUGGCGAGUGCGAACGGGGUGAGUAAAUGUAUCGGAACGCCUAGUAGCGGGGGAUAACUACGCGAAAGCGUAGCCAGACACGCAUACGCCUCUUCGGGGGAAAGCGGGGACCUUCCUGCCUCGCACUAUUAGAGCGGCCGAUAUCGGAUUAGUUGGUUGAGAAUGCAAUGUGCCCGGCGACGGAUCUGCAGUCGUUUGAGAGGACGACCAGCCACACCGCACCGAGCGACAAUGGCCCAGACUCCUACGGGAGGCAGCAGCAGCAGGAAUUUUUGGACAAUGGGGGAAACUCCUGGAUCUGUUGUUCCCGCGUGCGAUGAAGGCCUUCGGGUUGUAAAGCACUUUUGGCAGGAUAAGAAACGGCACGGGAUAAUACCCCGCAGUAACCGACGGUACCUGCAGAAUACACCGGCCACCCAUGCGCCAGCAGCCGCGGUAAUACGUAGGUGCAAGCGUUAAUCGAAUUACUGGGCGUAAAGCGUGGCAGGCGGUUCGGAAAAGAAAGAUGUGAAAUCCACAGAGCUGGAAAACUUCUUGGAACUGCAUUUUAACUACCGAGCUAGAGUGUGUCGAGAGGUGGAGUAAAUGGAAUUCCGCGUAGCAGUGAAAUGCAGAGCACGGAGGAACACCGGAUGGUUUGGGGCUGCAGCCUCCUGGGAGUAACAAUUGACGCUCAUGCACGAAAGCGUGGGGGAGCAAACAGGAUUAGAUACCCUGGUAGUCCACGCCUCAAACGAUGUCAACUAGCUGUUGGGGCCUUCGGGCCUUGGUAGCGCAGCUAACGCGUGAAGUUGACCGCCUGGGGAGUACGGUCGCAAGAUUAAACUCAAAGGAAUUGACGUAUUCCGCACAAGCGGUGGAUGAUGGAUUCAAUCUGAUGCAACGCGAAAACCUUUACCUACCCUUGACAUGUCUGGAAUCCGCGACUUGGGAUGGCCCUGGAGAACCGGAACACAGGUGCUGCGGUUAUUGCCGUCAGCUCGUGUCGAGAUGCUGGGUUAAGUCCCGCAACGAGCGCAACCGCCUUAUUAGUUGUUACGAAAGGGCAGCACCUGAUUGUGACUGCCGGUGACAAGUUCGGAGGGGAAGGUGCCGGGAUGACGUCAAGUCCGCCCUUAUGGGUAGGGCUUCACACGCGUCAUACAAUGGUCGGGACAGAGGGUCGCCAACCCGCGAGGGAAAGCGGCUUCAAUCCCAGAAACCCGAUCGUAGUCCGGAUCGCAGUCUGCAACUCGACUGCGUGAAGUCGGAAUCCGCCAGUAAUCGCGGAUCAGCAUGUCGCGGAAUACGUUCCUCCUCGGGUCUUGUACACACCGCCCGUCACGCGACCAUGCGGGAGUGGGUUUCACCAUGACGAACAACCGUAAGAGGGCGAUUACCACGGUAGGAUUCAUGACUGGGGUGAAGUCGUAACAAGGUAA